rnacentral:tRNA from 1 species
CCGCCAUCCUGGCCGAGGGGGGCCCCGUCCUCCUGGUGGACGCCGACCCCCAGGGCUCCGCCUCCUGGUGGGCGGGCC